UCAUUACCUGGCAUUGACCACUGUCAGUAGACAGGAUACUGGGCUGGAUGGACCUUUGGUCUGACCCGGUGUGGGAAUUCUUAUAUUCUUACGACGAUUCCUCAUGUCCGUGCUGGAACUUGUUUAGUAGUUGAAUUUUGUAAUGCUGGUUCCUUAAUCACUUUCCAGUACAAGUGUUACAUUGUUAUCUGUCUGUCUUCUUUUCUUUUGAGUGCUUCAGAACUGCAUGUUCUGGAUAUAGUAAUAGGGAAAGUAUAUAUAAAAGCUCCUUUGCUUACUAUAUGCAUGAUUGACUAGCUGAUAGCAUCAGUGUGAAUGCAGAGCUUAUAAAAAGUCUGGAUUUGACCAGCCCUUUUCCUUGUUGUACAACUCCUAAACAGCUCCUUGGAGAGGAAACAGAAUUCCUUCUAAAACCUGCAGUGUGGAGUGUGAUUGUUAAGUGUAGCUUUGAAAACCACUUGUUUCCUAUGGCAACAUUACUUUGCUUUCCCUUUAUUUUUUGAAUUUUGUCUUUCUUUAGACAAGUAAAACACCCUUGUUUCCACCCUUGUUUUCAGGCCAGUUUCAUUGUAGGCUCUCAUGCACUAGCAUGUGGCUGCAAUUUUUGGGAUGCAAAUAUGAGAGCUUUUUGAGGUAGAAGAGUGGAGAAGAAACUUUUCUGUUGGUCCUUGUUUUUUUUGCAAAAAUCUUUUUUUACUAAUCCUAAACUUGGGGUCAGAUUUGCUCUGAUAGUGCCCCUUUAAAUAUUUCAUGUUGUGUCUUUAAGACCUCACUUACUGAAUCUCGGUAUCUCUCCUUGUGUUGUGGUGUUGUUUUGCUUGACAUCUUGGUACUAAUGUGUCCUUUUAAAAAAAAAAAAAAAAAAAAAAAAAAAAAAAAAAGUGCUCCUUGGAGAGUUCAUUUAAUAAAGAUAGCAAAAACCUGUAGAGCACUUAAGGUUUGCUUGCAAAUGUUUUGUUGCAGCGUUUAUGGCUAUUGUAGCAGUAGGGGAAUUGUUAGAAAACUAACUGU